rnacentral:rRNA from 1 species
UACAGAGGUCCCAAGCGUUGUUCGGAUUCACUGGGCGUAAAGGGUGCGUAGGUGGUUGCGCAAGUCUGAUGUGAAAUCUCCGGGCUCAACCCGGAAAUGGCAUUGGAAACUGCGUGGCUAGAGGGUUGGAGGGGGGACUGGAAUACUUGGUGUAGCAGUGAAAUGCGUAGAUAUCAAGUGGAACACCAGUGGCGAAGGCGAGUCCCUGGACAACACCUGACACUGAGGCACGAAAGCGUGGGGAGCAAACCGG